UACGUAGGGUGCGAGCGUUAAUCGGAAUUACUGGGCGUAAAGAGUGCGUAGGCGGUUCGUUAUGUCUGCUGUGAAAUCUCACAGCUUAACUGUGAAACUGCAUUGGAUACUAUUCGGCUAGAGAGUUGGAGGGGGGACUGGAAUUCUUGGUGUAGCAGUGAAAUGCGUAGAUAUCAAGAGGAACACCAGUGGCGAAGGCGAGUCCCUGGACAACUUCUGACGCUGAGGCACGAAAGCUAGGGGAGCAAACAGG
rnacentral:rRNA from 1 species